rnacentral:rRNA from 1 species
GAUGAACGCUGGCGGCGUGCCUAAUACAUGCAAGUCGAGCGAACGGACGAGAAGUUUGCUGCGCUGAUGUUAGCGGCGGACGGGUGAGUAACACGUGGAUAACCUACCUAUAAGACUGGGAUAACUUCGGGAAACCGGAGCUAAUAGCGGAUAAUAUUUUGAACCGCAUGGUUCAAAAGUGAAAGACGGUCUUGCUGUCACGUAUAGAUGGAUCGCGGCUGCAUUAGCUAGUUGGUAAGGUAACGGCUUACCAAGGCAACGAUGCAUAGCCGAACUGUGAGACUGAUCGCCCACCCUGGAGCUGAGCCGCCCACCAUGCUCCUGCGGGAGGCACCAGUAGCCUACCUUCCGCAGUGGGCGAAAACCUUACGGAGCAACGCCGCGCGAGAGAUGUAAAUCUUCCGAUCGUAAAGCUCUGUUAUUAGGGAAGAACCUAUGUGUACGUAACUGUGCCCCUCUUGACGGUACCUAAUAAGAAAGCCACGGCUAACUACGUG